rnacentral:rRNA from 1 species
UGCGUAGGUGGUGAGGUAAGUCGGAUGUGAAAUCUCCGGGCUCAACCCGGAAAUGGCAUUGGAAACUACCUUGCUGGAGGAUUUGAGGGGGGAUUGGAAUACUUGGUGUAGCAGUGAAAUGCGUAGAUAUCAAGUGGAACACCAGUGGCGAAGGCGAAUCCCUGGAAAAUACCUGACACUGAGGCACGAAAGCUAGGGGAGCAAACA